GCCAUCAUAGCUCAGUGGACGUGCACUGGUCUUGUAAAUCAGGAGUCGUGAAUUCAAUCCUCACUGGUGGCA